GAGUUGAUAGAUUACUGCAUACAUUCCGAAUGUGUUAGCAGUGUUUAUUUUCAGAGAAUGCAGAAUGCGUGGUUGAGUAAUAGUGGCGCUAUAAGCUAACUGAUUCUUUUUUUUGCCAGAAUUAUAAUACGUAAAAAUGGCGAAUAAUACAUUUUCUUCAAGUUCUGUGAGUCUGAAAAUCGGCUUUUUAAUUUUGUUAGUUGUUAUGAUAGUUCACAUAAUUGGAUUUUCGAUACCAAGAUGGAUUUCAUUUGAUAUAAUUUUAAGACAGCGCUUGCCCGAAUCUGCAUACCACGGCGGUCUCUGGCAACACUGCUGGUGUGCUUCCGUUAUAAAAUCUGGUGCGUGACUUUGUGUCUCAAGGACAAAUGAUCCAGGAUGGUUUAAGAUUGUACAAACUACAGAAACACUUGGUCUCAUUGGUCUGGUUUCAUCGGCGUUUAUAUCUGCAAUCAUGCUGUUCUACAAACAAAACAAACGACACAAGACUCUUAACAUCUGCUGUAUGAUAUUGUCAGGUGUUUUGAUUUUCAUUGGUGUGAUCUGGUUUGGGAUCAAAUCUAGGGAACCUUUGGACGCAUUUACCAGGUCUUCCAGCCAUUUCUAUGAGGAAAUUCCUGUCGGAAAAUUAAGUUAUGCUUAUCUUCUCUGCAUUAUUGUGGCCUUCCUCUGUAUAUUUGUGUGCACGCCUCUCUUUUUCUACGACUUGUACUCGCACAGACCUCCACCGCCUGAAACACAAGAUUAUUAUACACCUCAAGGUCAAAUUCAUGUUCCUCAGUACGGAAAUACUUUUGGUGGUCAACAGCCAAAUACUGAUACAGGCGCAGUGCGGACCACAGCCCGCGUAUGAACAGUACUACCAGUCUGACAACAGUGGAAUACCGUAUAAAUCGUAACCAUUUUUUUACAUUUUCAAAGAAAGAGUCGUUUUUUAUAUAAUGAACAUAUAUAUUAACUCUUUGUAAGAAAGACAUUUGCCUCGUAAUAAAAUAUUGUUGUAGUUGAAAAGUUCAUCAUAUCGUUCCAGACAGCUUCCAGCAGUCAUAGAAACAAGGCUUCAAAAGGGACGCGAAUAGUAUAUACAUUUAAUCACCUAUAGAACAAAAAAAAAGAAAGAAAAGAAAGUCAUUGUUAAGAGAAUAUUGAUCAAACUAAUGAAAUUAUAAUUAUUUAUCAUAAUUCCAAAGUUUUCUCUAUUAUGUUACGUAUUAUUUAACAUAAAUUGAUAUGUAUGUAUUGGCUGUUAUAAUAAACGUAGAUUUUUCUUUGAUUUUUACACCUCGAAAUCACACAAAUUUGGUACAAAAUGCGAAAUACUUUAAUCAGCGAUUUUCUUAGUCAUUCAUAUAAUUUUGUUGUAGUUUAGGUGUACAAAACUUUCGUGCUAAGAGGUUUACCUAUAGGUACAGGGAUCAAACAGCUUUGUGGCCUAUUUUGUAGUACAGUCUAUUUUAUUUACAAACAAUUUAUAAAAUUAGUACUUGUCAAGAAGCGCAUUCAGAUAAGCCUGAGCCACAAUCGUGCAUAAAAAUGCAUGUUUAAACUAAUAAAUCAAGUCUUUGUAAGGGACGAAGACCGGGUAACAUAAUAAACUAGUUCAGCAAAAUUAUUGCAGAAAUUUUCACCUGAUUGUUUUGCUUAUAAAUCCAAAAUUUUCAAAGUAUUGAUUGAAGGCAAUUUAUAAAUUUUGAGAUUUUUUGGUACAUUAGAACAUUUUAACUCUCAAUCGACAAAGCAUUUCUUUAGGGGGUAAACAGGUCCGAGUGACGUCAUUCAAAAUGAUUCUCGAUUCUACCCAACGCCCACAUACAACAGGGAAUAUGACUGCAGUAAUGGCAAGCCAAACAGUAAAUGCUCGUAUGAAACAAAUAUAAAAAUAUCUUUAAAAAAAUAACGCUUAAAUGAAAAGCGCGCAAUUUUUUUUAUGAAACACAAAAAAGUAAGUUUGUCAAUGAAUUUAUUUCUUUAUACAUUUUUGGAAGAUUUUUUUGUUGUGAUACAGAAUUUUUUUUUAAUACUUAAAGACCCUGUAACUCAUUUUUAUGGUUUUAUUUCAUAAAUAUAAUGAUCAAAUGAAGAUUUAUCAAUAUUGUAAGUUCAAAAAACAUUAUUUGUAAAGAUAUAACCGGAUUAAAAUUUCAUGUUAAUAAAGGGAGGUAAUUAGAAAUUUAAUUUCUUUAAUGCCUUAGUCAAAUGUUUCAAUAAGAAAUGAAUGCAUAUAUUUUAAUGAGCACACAUAUUUGCAGUACAUAUUUAACAUAUUCUUCGAUGUUUGAAAUUUGUUUUAGAAGCAUAAUCAUACACACAUAUAAAAUUCACAAAAGUGAGGCCGCCCGGUUAGCUCAAUAAGGUGAGCGUUGGACUGUGAAACAGGCGACCCGGGUUCGAUUCCCGGACAGUGCAGGAUCCUUUGAUCCUUUCUACGGUCGUUCACGCUAUACCUCUGAUCUGGCAUGAACAGAAGUUUCAGUUCCUUUCGAAAGUGAAGGCAACUUGUACUGGUAAACUGCUUGACAACCUGCUCAGGAACGAUGCAGUGGUUGAACUGUGCUCUGGUGAAUUCAAUGUGGCUUACUGCAGUGAUUUGGAGCGGAAACUAUCGACACCACCACCAAUACAGGUUACAACCAUAAUUACAUUAUACAGGACCUAAUUAUAUGGUUCAUCUUAUAGACAUUCUUGUCGUUGGCUAUAUGCAGAUGCAACAGAUGACAUAGAGGGAUCUUUCAUGUCGUAUAAUGUACACACGUGUAUUUUAAUAAUAUACAUGAUAUAAAGUUUUUAUAUCUCAUCUCUUUACUAAUGUUACAUGCAUUAAACAUGUAGGAUACAUUUCAUUUGUUUAUUUAAACAUAUAAACGCUUUAAGAUAGCAUUGUUUCUUGUUGUGUUUUAUUUGUUGUUUUUUAUAAUUGAAUAUAAGAGAGACAAAGAAGUUUAUGUCAUAUGUAUUCAAUAUUGUAUCUAAAAAACCUCUUACAUGGUGUACAUGAUUCAAACGUUAAGGUAUCUUUCAAUGACAUAUGUAGAGAGAAUUUGGACAUUCCUUUGAGAAGCUAUUUCGGCCAAUGAUUUAAUUUGCUUGACAAAGUUGAAGCCAUGCUUCUUCGGUUAGAAGAAAUAAAUGAAAAAGAUAGAGA